UACAGAGGGUGCGAGCGUUGUUCGGAAUUAUUGGGCGUAAAGAGCGCGCAGGCGGUCGUUCAAGUCGCGUGUGAAAGCCCCCGGCUCAACUGGGGGGGGUCACGCGAUACUGAUCGACUCGAAGGCAGGAGAGGGUAGUGGAAUUCCCGGUGUAGUGGUGAAAUGCGUAGAUAUCGGGAGGAACACCAGUGGCGAAGGCGACUACCUGGCCUGUUCUUGACGCUGAGGCGCGAAAGCUAGGGGAGCAAACAGG
rnacentral:rRNA from 1 species